ensembl:lncRNA novel transcript
GCUGUGUACCUGGAGACCCCCAGGUCUCCAGGGGUCAAACCACACCCCACAGGCACCUUGGAAGAAGAAAUCCACAGGAGGAAAAAAAGAAGAUUUGCUGAGCACCUACUAUGCAUCAGACGCUGUGUUCUAGGCAAGGGGGAUACACCUGAUGGAAGAAGGUCCUUCCCUAGACGUAGCUAACAUCCCAGUGUGGGAGAUGACACGAAACAGUAAGUGAGAUUUGACAUGCCUGUGUAACACGGACGGAGCUGUGGAGUUAGUAGCUGGGCAUGAGGCUGGAGUGCAGGGGAGACGCCUGGCCCGGAGUCACCCCAGAUGGCAAACUCCCCACAACAGCCUCCUCAACGCUGCCUCCCACAGUGCUUGGACAAAAUAAUUACAGCAAGAUGCGGGCACUGAGCUGACUCCUUAUGUAGGACAUCCCAGUGCAGCCCUAGAAUCAGCCGUUUCUCCAGGGAGCCCGGUUCCUUUCACUGGAGAAUGUUCUUAGAAACAGAUCUGGAUGGUGGGUUUGCAUGUUGCUAUUGGGGACCCACUACCAGGGGGCAGAGCUAGGAAAUACAUAUGUGCCCCACCUAAGUGCUGACAGCCUAAAAGUCCACCAUUAAAGCCAUUCUUCGGGUUUAAGGCAUUGAUCUUCACCAUCAUCUCCCAUUAUUAUAUCUGCUUGCUCUCAUGGAGACAGGGGUCACUGGGGCCAGUCCACCUGUAGUGGCUGAAGUCUUCAUCUCCUGCAGCAGAGAAGUUUGUUGGGACUAUGUAAAAUAUCAAAAGAGGGUUUCUUUAACCCUUAAA